UUUGGUGGCGAUAGCGAAGAGGUCACACCCGUUCCCAUGCCGAACACGGAAGUUAAGCUCUUCAGCGCCAAUGGUAGUCGGGGGUUUCCCCCUGUGAGAGUAGGACGCCGCCAAGC
rnacentral:rRNA from 1 species